CUCCCUACUAACGUUGGGUUCACCAACCGUAUUUUUUUAUUUCUCUCUAUUAUAAAGUUGUCCUCUCUUGUCUGAUAUUUCCCGGUAGUUAAACUUGCGUUUUGUAAAAUUAAUUUUAAUAUCAAAACAAUUGUAUAAAUUUUCAUUUUUGAAAAGAAUGAAAAUUAAUAUUAAAAAAAGAAAAUCAGAAAAUUAGAGAAUAAUUCCACUGCUUUUAUAUGGGUUUCUAGUUGAAACCUAGAAUUUCUUAUUUACAUACACGUGAAGUUAUC
rnacentral:lncRNA from 1 species